CGGUGAUAUAGGAGCCACAUAUUGACAGAUAGACCCAGCUAGAGGCAUGGCGUCUGAGGUGUUCUUCCUCUCACUGUUGGCGUGGUUUAGUUUGUACAACCAAGGACAUGGCCUGGACUGUCAGGACGAGUCUACUGACUGUGCGAUAGACAUCACCCUAGCAAUGUGUGACCAGCCAGGAAUCGCUCCAGCAUGUUCGGGAGACGUGCCAGACAUGUGAACCAAAUGGUGAUCAGUGUGCGACUGGUUAUGUGGAACAACGGAACAGAUGCACCAGCUGCAGCAGCCUGACUCUUCAAGAAAUCUUCCAGAGUAGAGAAUGUCCUCAAGGCUGCCCUCAGAAUAAGCGGGGAGGAACUGCUCCAAACCCUGUAACCCGGGCUGUUUUAGGGGAUGUGAGAAAUGGUCGGGGCAAUGUCUCGGGGGAUGCAAGAACGGUUUCUAUAGUAACCACUGUGAUCUAAAUUGUGAAAACUGUGGAGGCAAUGGUCAAUGUCGUAUAAACGGAACAUGUAAAUAUGGUUGUAAAUCUGGUUUUGAAGGAAGUUUGUGUUUGCAACAUACACUAAGAUAAACACCUGAUAUGCCGUUCUCUAGACUUAAAGGUCGACCAUUUCAUAUUGAGAAGGGAGAAGGGCAAGUGGGUCUGUCGUAGAUGCUUGAAAAGAAUGAUAUUUUGUCGCUUUUUUUCUAUGCAUAAGAACUGUUGUAAAGAAACAAAAGCGCGGUCGAAGACGUAUCAAAUCUGACGUUUUACUAUGCCAGUUCCGUCGACCAUCAAACUCUUAUUCUACCCUAUUUGUCGACCUGUAUUUCCUACCACUGUGGAGCAGGUGGACACUGUGUCAUUUGUCCCGUCAUAUAUUCCAGACACUAAGAUAUAUAAUGACCUCGCUCCACUGAGUCAAUACCAUGCCAGGUGGGGCAUUUGCUUUGAUUGCCGGUGUCAUAUUAGCAGAUAUUUAUGAAUGAUCAACUUCUUUAUUGUUUCGUUUCGGUAUAGAUACUUAUACCGUUUUGAAGCAUGAAAACGGGAUAAGUAUCUUUACCAAAGCGUCCCCAUCGUACAAUAAAGAAAUUGAUCAUCGGUAAAGACUUGUCACUCCUGUUUACCUAUGGGUACCUCGUUAGGAUGAGAAAGCCACAAUAACUCGGUGCGCCUAGUGGCUGCAAGAGAUUGAUAAUGCGAUGUGCCGUUGAGACUGAGAUUGACAUC